rnacentral:lncRNA from 1 species
GUCCGUAGUCCCAGCUACUUGAGAGAUUGAGGUGAGAGGAUCAUUUGAGCCCAGGAGGUCAAGGCUGUAGUGAGCUGUGAUCACACCAGCACUUCAGCCAAGGUGACAGACUGAGACCCUGCCUCUAUUAAAAAAAACUAAUUGGUUAAAAUAAAUCUGAAUAUAUCAAAUACUCACUAAAUUAGGCAGAGGAGUAUAAAAGUUGCAACAUAAUCUAUCUUUAAUUUACAAAAAACCUUUGUCUGGAAUAAAUGUAAUUAUGUUAACAUAAAGCCAUGCAUUGACAUUAUGUUCUUCCUGUGGUUGCUUUUUGACAGAGUAUUCUAGCUGCCUCCGCCUUUGAGACAGAGCAGGAAGAACCUGUGGAUGGUGGGAUUCCCUCUUCUUGGAGAAGGGGAUGAGCAUUUCCCGCUGCCCUCCUGACACGCCCGUGGCUGUCUGCCUUGCUCUGUACCUCCAGACUUCAUGGAAAGCAUGCUCGACCUUUGACUUCUGGAAAUCCUUGAAUGAAGCACAAAAGGGAUUGGUCCUUGCCUGGUGUGAAGCACAGCUGAGCCAAAGGAGGAAGCAAUAUUGCAAUGGACUCUGUCUUUGACAUCACUACUUUGCAAAUUUGUUACCACUAUGGUCAAAUUUUUAUAUUCACUCUUACAUUUUAACUCAUUCUGCUCAUUAUAUUCAAUGCAACAUCUGCACUAAAAGAUACUCAGGCAUUAAUUUAUGCUUUUCUGUUUACAAAUGAGAAUUCAUAAGCAAAUUGAGGUAGCAAUUAGAUAUUUUUUAAAAUCGAAGACAAAACAGAAGACACAUACACACACAUCAGUGGAACACAACAGAGAGCCCAGAAACAGACUGAAAUACAGCCGACUAAUCUCUGACAAAGGAGCAAAAGCAAUUCAAUGGAGAAAGGAGAGUCUUUUUAACAAAUGGUGCCGGAACAAGUGGGCAUCCAUAUGCAAAAAAGAAAAAAAAAAAGAAUCUAAAAACAGACCUUAUACUUCUUACAAAAAUUAAUGCAAAGUAGAUAUUAGACCAAUAUAUAAAAUGUAAAAUUUUCAAACUUCUAGAAGAUAACAUAAGGAAAAAAUCUAGUUAACUUUGGAUUUGGUGACUUUUUAAAGAUACAACACCAAAAGCAUGAUCCACGAAGACAAAAAUUGGUAAGCUGAAUUUCAUUAACAUGAAAAACUUUUGUUUUGCAAAAGAUACCAUUAAGAGAAUAAAAAGACAAAUCCCAAACUGUGAGAAAAUAUUUGCAAAAUAUAUCUAAGGAUUCGUAUCUGAAAUAUGCAAAGAACUGUUAAAACUCAACAAGAGGAAAACAAACAACCCAAUUAAAAAUGGGCAAAAGCUGAACAGAUAUGCAGAUGGAAACUAACUAUAUGAAAAGAUGCUCUGUAUGUUAUUAGGAACUGCCAAUUAAGACAACAAUAAGACACCACUACACACCUAUUAGAAUGGCCAAAAUCCACAAGUCUGAAAACACCAAAUGCUGGUGAGGAUGUGAAGCAACAAGAACUCUCAUUCAUUGCUGUGGGAAUGCAAAAUGGCACAGCCACUUUGGAAGACAGUUUGGCAGUUUUUUACAAAGCUCACAUAGUCUUAUUAUAAGAUUUAGCAAUUGUGCUCUUCAUUAUUUACCCAGUGGAGUUGAAGAGUUAUGUCCACACACAAACUUGCACACAAAUGUUUAUAAAAGCUUUAUUCAGGAUUACCAGAAACUGGAGGUGAUCAACAUGUCCUUCAGUAGGUGAAUGGAGAAAUAAAUUCUGAUAUCUACAGACAAUGGAAUAUCAUUCAGUGAGAAAAGACCUAUCAAGUCAUGAAAAGGCAUACCGGGACCCAAAAUGCACAUUACUAACGAAAAAAGCCAAAAAGGCUACAUACUGUAUGAUUCCAAUUAUGUGACAUUUUGGAAAAGGGAAAAUUACACAGAUAGUAAAAUGAUCGGUGGUUGGUAGGGGUUGAGGAGAGGGAAGGAUAGAUGGUCAGAGAGUUCCGGAUGUUUAGGGCAGUGAGACCAUUGUGUGCGAUUUCACCACAACGGUGGACCCACGACAGUGUGCAGAUGCCAAACCCAUUGAAUGCAGACCACAAAAAGAUAAUAAUUACAUAAACUAUGAACUUUCAUAAUGAAAUAAAUCAUGUUUUAAAAAAGUAGACAGCUUUGUUCAGUUACUGUCUACUUUUUGAAAUGGAGAGGGUGGGAUGCUUACAUGGUUGUGAGGAUAAAAAUAGCUUAGAGAAUGUAAUAACUAAAACAGGUGUGUAAACAUUGUUAAACUCUUUUAUCCUCAUUAAAAAACAUUGCUUAAAUAUAUUUGUAAUUUUUUACAACUGAGCGAGUAGUGCAAACACAUUAACAUAAUUCUCCUCUAGCUCCGCUCAGAAGUCAGGCUUCAGUGCAGGACCACAUGGCUCCAAGUGCACCUGCCAAAUGCAACAACCUCUUUCAACGUCAUUAAAAUAUUUCAAUAGGAGGCUUGAUUUUAGACUCAACCUGUGUUUUCUCCCCUGGAAAAUGAAGGUUUUAUGAAACAAAGAAGGUCUUUACCAUUCUCAUCCAAAAUGCUGAGACAUCUGUGAUGUCUGCUGUAAGUGCCACCAGGCUCUCCUCUGAAAUCUCACAACGGGAAAAUAGAGACUGUCAAUUCUGCUUUUAGAAAGGGGAGAAUCAGAUCUAAUGUCGAAAUGCCAUGUCCUCAUUCAUACACAUCUUCUUUUACAAAUUCCACAGGUUUAGUUACUUUGGGAUUAAUAUGGGCCUAUUUUAAAGUGCAUUUAUUAAUUUAGCAUGAAAUGUCCAAAUGCAUUCUGGAUCCUGAGCUGACAUCCAGCAAUGCUGAGUGUGCGCCUGUGUGAGUCACCAGCCCUGAUGAGCCUCAGGUUAUUGUAUUCAUAAAAUGAAGGGGCUUAGGCUUGCUCCGAUUUUUUUAAAACCAUUUUUAACAGUAAAAACUUGUUUCUUGUUACAUAAAAAUGUACAAGAAAAACCCAAACAUUACAAAUGAUAAAUUAUAAUUUUAUUAAUAUAAAUAUUUUGUGAGCUCAAUUUAUAGGACUUAGUUAUUAUAAAAGAAAUAAGCAACAUGAGGUGGCCAUACUUUCCUAUUUUGUUCACAUGCUAUUGAUAAAUCUUGAUGUACACAGAAAAUUAGUUUCAAAGAAUAAUAAUUUUAAAAAUCUUGACUUGUAAUUUCAAGGGACUUUAAAAAAAUUCCUGCAAUUUCUCUUUAAAGGUUCUAGAACAGUUUUCUAUGUCUUAAAGCUAAAUAAUCACAAAGAACUAACUGUUCUCACAUUCUGUAUUAUAAAUAUGUAAGUCAGAAAAGGAACAGACAAAAGAAUAAAAACACAUGCGUGAACAAAUGGGCCUUGGUUUACAUUGAAUUGGAUCUGGCAAUGAACAUGGGUUAUAGUAGUAUUUUUGUGUGUAAUUUUACACGAGUGGACUGUUGACAAAAUAAAAAUUGUCUGCAAUCACUAUUUGGUGGUAUAUUUGCACAAAUGGUAAACAUAUACAUAGAGGUCGUGGGAGAAAUUUAUUUCAUGGCUUACCAGAAGACAGGUUAAGUUGGGA